rnacentral:rRNA from 1 species
GACGAACGCUGGCGGCGUGCCUAAUACAUGCAAGUCGAACGCAGUGGGGACGGGUGAGUAACACGUGGGUAACCUCCCCCUCAGAUGGGAUCACCCUUGGAAAUAGGUGCUAAACCGAUACUGAUGGAUGAACCCGCGGUGCAUUAGCUAGUUGGUGAGGUAACGGCUCACCAAGGCCACGAGGCAUAGCAGACCUGAGAGGGUGAGCGGCCAAACUGGGACUGAGACACGGCCCAGACGCCUACGGGAGGCAGCAGUAGGGAAUCUUCGGCAAUGGACGAAAGUCUGACCGAGCAACGCCGCGUGAGUGAAGAAGGUUUUCGGAUCGUAAAACGCUGUUGUUAGAGAAGCGGUAUCUAACCAGAAAGCCACGGCUAACUCCGUGCCAGCAGCCGCGGUAAUAC